GCUGCUUCUCCCACCGUCUCCAGCUGCUCUAUUCACCAACUCCUCCGGCAUCCGCUCCGGCGCCUCCCAUCUCUCUCCCGCCCAUCCCUUCCCGUCAAAUUCCUUCAAACGCCGCUCCGAAUCCGCCUGAGAUCCAGCUCCUCGGCCGCCAUGGCCACCUCCGCCGCCGCUGCCACCGCCGCUGCCACCGCCGUCACUGCGGCCAAGGACGACGGGACCGCCGCCUCGAAAAGAAAGCAAAUUCUUCAGGUAUUUGAGAAUGAGGAGGAGCUUUCUGCUUCGCUGGCGAAAUACACUGCCGACCUCUCGGAGAAGUUCGCAAGCGAGCGGGGGGCCUUCACCGUCGUCGUCUCCGGUGGAUCUCUCAUAAAAUCUCUCAGGAAAUUAGCGGAAUCCCCGUUUGUCGAUAGCAUUGACUGGUCUAGAUGGCAUGUGUUUUGGGUGGAUGAGAGAGUCGUGCCGAAGGAUCACCCGGAUAGCAAUUACAAGCUCGCAUACGAUGGACUGCUCUCCAAGGUGCCUAUCCCGCCGGGCCAUGUCUAUGCCAUAAAUGAUACUCUAUCUGCUGAGGGUGCUGCAGAUGACUAUGAGACCUGUUUGAAGCAGUUGGUUAAAUCAGGGGUAGUCGCACUUUCGGAAACAACCGGGUUCCCAAAAUUCGAUGUCAUGCUUUUGGGCAUGGGACCCGAUGGCCAUGUAGCUUCUCUUUUCCCAGGGCACCCUCUUCUCAGCGAGCACAAACACUGGGUGACUUUCGUGACGGACUCCCCCAAGCCACCUCCAGAAAGAAUAACCUUCACGUUACCCGUGAUUAACUCAUCAGCUUACGUCGCCCUUGUGGUUACCGGAAGUGGUAAAGCUGGGGUAGUCAGUCAGGCUCUGGGG
rnacentral:misc_RNA from 1 species